rnacentral:rRNA from 1 species
AGAGUUUGAUCCUGGCUCAGGAUUAACGCUGGCGGCGUGCCUAAUACAUGCAAGUCGAACGGAAGUACCUUCGGGUACUUUAGUGGCGAACGGGUGAGUAAUACAUAGGUAACCUACCCUUAAGACGAGGAUAGCCAUUGGAAACGAUGGAUAAAACUGGAUAGGAUAUAGAGGAAGAAUCUUUUAUAUUUAAAAGAGAGAUCUGCUUAAGGAGGGGCCUGUGGCGCAUUAGCUAGUUGGUGGGGUAAGGGCCUACCAAGGCGAUGAUGCGUAGCCGGACUGAGAGGUUGAACGGCCACAAUGGAACUGAGAACGGUCCAUACUCCUACGGGAGGCAGCAGUAGGGAAUUUUCGGCAAUGGGGGGAACCCUGACCGAGCAACGCCGCGUGAACGAAGAAGUUAUUCGUAAUGUAAAGUUCUUUUAUCAGGGAAGAAAGAGGAAUUUGACGGUACCUGAGGAAUAAGCUCCGGCUAACUACGUGCCAGCAGCCGCGGUAAUACGUAGGGAGCGAGCGUUAUCCGGAAUUAUUGGGCGUAAAGGGUGCGUAGAUGGCAUAGUAAGUCUUUUGUAAAAAUGCUGGGCUCAACCCAGUAGGGCAAAAGAUACUGCAAAGCUAGAGUAUGACAGAGGCAAGUGGAACUACAUGUGUAGCGGUAAAAUGCGUAAAUAUAUGUAAGAACACCAGUGGCGAAGGCGGCUUGCUGGGCCGAUACUGACAUUGAGGCACGAAAGCGUGGGGAGCAAACAGGAUUAGAUACCCUGGUAGUCCACGCCCUAAACGAUGAGUACUAAGUGUUGGUGAGAAUCAGUGCUGAAGUUAACGCAUUAAGUACUCCGCCUGAGUAGUACGUACGCAAGUAUGAAACUUAAAGGAAUUGACGGGAGCCCGCACAAGCGGUGGAGCAUGUUGUUUAAUUCGACGAUACGCGAAGAACCUUACCAGGUCUUGACAUAGCACGCGAAGGCGUAGAGAUACGUUGGAGGAUAGCGUGCAUACAGGUGGUGCAUGGUUGUCGUCAGCUCGUGUCGUGAGAUGUUGGGUUAAGUCCCGCAACGAGCGCAACCCUUAUUUCUAGUUACCAGCAGUAAGAUGGGGACUCUAGAGAGACUGCCAUUGAUAAAAUGGAGGAAGGUGGGGAUGACGUCAAAUCAUCAUGCCCUAUAUGACCUGGGCUACAAACGUGCUACAAUGGCUGAAACAAAGAGAAGCGAGCCCGCGAGGGGGAGCGAACCUCAAAAAAGCAGUCUCAGUUCGGAUUGAAGUCUGCAACUCGACUUCAUGAAGAUGGAAUCGCUAGUAAUCGCGGAUCAGAAUGCCGCGGUGAAUACGUUCCCGGGUCUUGUACACACCGCCCGUCACACCAUGGGAGUCGGGAAUGCCCGAAGUCAGUGACCCAACCGCAAGGGGGGAGCUGCCGAAGGCAGGCCUGGUAACUGGGGUGAAGUCGUAA